UGGGGAAUUUUGGACAAUGGGCGAAAGCCUGAUCCAGCAAUGCCGCGUGCAGGAAGAAGGCCUUCGGGUUGUAAACUGCUUUUGUACGGAACGAAACGGUCUGCCCUAAUACGGCGGGCUAAUGACGGUGCCGUAAGAAUAAGCACCGGCUAACUACGUGCCAGCAGCCGCGGUAAUACGAAGGGGGCUAGCGUUGUUCGGAAUUACUGGGCGUAAAGCGCACGUAGGCGGACUUUUAAGUCAGGGGUGAAAUCCCCGGGCUCAACCUGGGAACUGCCUUUGUGACCGCAAGGCUGGAGUGCGGCAGAGGGGGAUGGAAUUCCGCGUGUAGCAGUGAAAUGCGUAGAUAUGCGGAGGAACACCGAUGGCGAAGGCAAUCCCCUGGGCCUGCACUGACGCUCAUGCACGAAAGCGUGGGGAGCAAACA
rnacentral:rRNA from 1 species